GACAUAGAGACACUGCAUAUUUUACCAAGGCUUUGACUGGAAUGGCAUGCUUUCAAAUAUAAACAGACGGCUUUAAGGAAUCAGAGUUGACCUAUAGUGCCCAUCAAAGCCCUUGGGAAAACUGGCUUCAUACUGUAUCCACCCAGUGGAUUCUUCUUGCCCAGAUGGAGCCCAUGUAUCAAGGGCUGGGCUGUGAAAGAGAUUGGAGAGGCAGGUGCCUGUGAGAGAAGCUUCUACCAGCCUGGGAAGUCAGGUCUUCCAUGAGUGAGGGGAGAACUUGACAGCAUGGACAUUGCCACUUGCUUCCUUCAGUCUCCUGGAGUCCCCAUGUCCUGAACACAGAGGAGGCACCCAAAUGCUUGCUGAAGCCACAUCCCUGGACCAAGUGACCUGACCCUCACCUGGAGGACCUUCACCUUCACCUCUCACCUGGAGGACCCUCUCACCUGGAAGACUCUCUCACCUGGAGGACCACCCCACCUGAAGGACUCCCAACUGGAGGACCCUCUUACCUGGGGGACCCCCUCCGCUGGAGGACCCUCUCACCUGGAGGACCCUCUUACCUGGAGGGCCCUUCACCUGGGGGACUCCCCCACCUAGAGGAUCCUCUUACCUGGAGGUCCCCUCACCUGGGGAACCCCCCCCCCACCUAGAGGAUCCUCUUACCUGGAGGGCCC
rnacentral:lncRNA from 1 species